rnacentral:rRNA from 1 species
GACGAACGCUGGCGGCGUGCUUAACACAUGCAAGUCGAACGGAAAGGCCCAGCUUUUGUGGGGUGCUCGAGUGGCGAACGGGUGAGUAACACGUGAGUAACCUGCCCUUGACUUUGGGAUAACUUCAGGAAACUGGGGCUAAUACCGGAUAGGAGCUCCUGCUGCAUGGUGGGGGGGGGAGAGUUUCGGCGGGUGGGGAGGGACUCGCGGCUUAUCAGCUUGUUGGUGGGGUAGUGGCUUACCAAGGCUUCGACGGGCAGCCGGCCGGAGAGGUGGACCGGCAACAUUGGGACUGGGUUCGGGCCAAGCCUCCACCGGGGGGCAGCGGUGGGGAAUAUUGCAAAAUGGGCGGAGGCCUGAUCAAGCACGGCCGCUUGCGGGAUGACGGCCUUCGGUUGUUAACCCGCUUUCGCCUGUGACGAAGCGUGAGUGACGGUAAUGGGUAAAGAAGCACCGGCUAACUACGUG